AAAAACUUAACAAUGUGCCUCAUAAGGCACUCCAACAUAAUCAAUCUAAAAACAAAUAAAGCAUCGCAUGCAUAUCAAUUCAAUAUACCUUUCAAGGCAUCUGAAAUAAUGACUGUAUUUAGCACCAACUAACCAUUAAAAACAUUUUUCAAAAUGACUCUAAUUCAAAUUAAUAUCAUAUGCACUAAAGCUACCAAACUAUAGCAAGCAUGCAUAAGCAUAUGAAUCACUUUUGCAUACUUAUUCUAAGGCAUAUUACCUAAUCACCAUUUAUGCCAUCAACCAGACAAAUCAAAUACUCUACAACAUACCACCUUCAUGAUCAAUGCCAUCACAUAGAUAUAUACAUAUAUAUACAUAAGAUUUC
rnacentral:lncRNA from 1 species